GGGGUUUUUGGGGGGUUCUGCAGGGCCCCUGAGGACCCUGGGGGGGUCCUGGGGGGAUGUUGGGUCACUCAGUUCAGUUUGAGGGUCCCAC